rnacentral:rRNA from 1 species
GACGAACGCUGGCGGCGUGCCUAAUACAUGCAAGUUGAGCGCUGAAGGUUGGUACUUGUACCGACUGGAUGAGCAGCUAACGGGUGAGUAACGCGUGGGGAAUCUGCCUUUGAGCGGGGGACAACAUUUGGAAACGAAUGCUAAUACCGCAUAAAAACUUUAAACACAAGUUUUAAGUUUGAAAGAUGCAAUUGCAUCACUCAAAGAUGAUCCCGCGUUGUAUUAGCUAGUUGGUGAGGUAAAGGCUCACCAAGGCGAUGAUACAUAGCCGACCUGAGAGGGUGGUCGGCCACAAUGGGACUGAGACAAGGCCCAAACUCCUACGGGAGGCAGCAGUAGGGAAUCUUCGGAAAUGGACGAAAGUCUGACCGAGCAACGCCGCGUGAGUGAAGAAGGUUUUCGGAUCGUAAAACUCUGUUUGUAGAGAAGAACGAUGGUGAGAGUGGAAAGCUCAUCAAGUGACGGUAACUACCCAGAAAGGGACGGCUAACUACGUG